rnacentral:lncRNA from 1 species
UUCUUGUUGCUACAAUUAUCUCUAUCUGUAAUGAACUUGGCCCAGUAAUUACAGUGGAAAAUAUCUUUUAAAAAUUUACAAAAAUUUACAAACAUUUAUGAAAAUUGUUAACAAUUGACUAUAAAGGACAAUAACUCCUUUCGGGGUCAAUUGACAAUUUUGGUCAAGUUGACUUAUUUGUAGAUUUUAUUUUGCUGAACAUUAUUGCUGUUUACAGUUUAUCUCUAUCUAUAAUAAUAUUCAAGAUAAUAACCAAAAUCUGCAAAAUUUCCUUAAAAUUACUAAUUCGGGGGCAGCAACCCAACAACAGGUUGUCCGAUUUGUCUGAAAAUUU